UCUGUCCCAGGCUGCAGUCUCAGCAGGGACUUACUCAAUCAUCACACAAAGGCUGGAAAGUUGCUGUUGUAUUUUAUAUAAUUUGUUCACAUGUUGCUGGUCCCAUGCUGUGCGCACGGAAGGUGUGUGUGCGAGUUACUGUGGUUACUGCAUCCUGUCACUCUGACACCUUCUCCUGAUUCAGUAACAUGUUUUUAGGUUGGUCUGCCUCUACUAAAUUCAUGAACCUCAACACUCAAAUCUAAUGAUAUAAUUUUAGAUUUUGAUUGAAACCUUAGUCUCCUUCAUGAUGAAAUGUUUUGAUGUGUUAAGCAGGCUGUUCAGUUAGUUCAUACAUCUACUUCUGAAUAUCAGAGCACAGUCUGUAUCACAGUAGUCUUUGACCUGAGAUAAUGUCAGUUAAAUGAUCUGCUGUUAACACUGUGAUUAUUGGUUUGUGUGUGACAUUUAAAGGGAAGACUGAGCACUUUGGACCCUAUGGUCUUUGGUAUGUUAGUAUUGACUAUUCACUUUGUAUUUUAAGUAAUUUAGCACUUUUUGUUUAAUAUAUAUAUUGUAAUUAACACAUAAUGAUAUGUGCUCUAUUGUGAGACAUAUUUGUCUGUUUUGUUAUUUAUGGGAAUUGCCACAGCAACAUUGACAUUUAAUUUUACACCUGUAAGAUUCAGUUUCUUGUUUUCCUUGAAACAUUUUCAUAGGUAAGGAACAUGAAGCCACCUCAGCCAAGGGUUCAAGAGGAGUCAAAGUGAGCCAGACAUCAUUUUCAGACAGACAACUAGAAGAAAAUAAUGGUGGAGAUCUGCCAAGUCCGACCCCUACAAGUUCCCUUGUUGAGCACCGACAGGAAGCUGUAACUACACGAAGACAUAAUGAUGCUGGUGAUGAGGGUUUUGAUGAUGAGGAUGGAAGUUCUACUGUUGAGUACCGAUGGGAAGCUGUGACUACACGAGGACAUGAUGAUGAU